UGCUCUUGUGGAUCACUGGCGAACGGGUGAGUAACACGUGAGCAACCUGCCCCUGACUCUGGGAUAAGCGCUGGAAACGGCGUCUAAUACUGGAUAUGUGACGUGACCGCAUGGUCUGCGUUUGGAAAGAUUUUUCGGUUGGGGAUGGGCUCGCGGCCUAUCAGCUUGUUGGUGAGGUAAUGGCUCACCAAGGCGUCGACGGGUAGCCGGCCUGAGAGGGUGACCGGCCACACUGGGACUGAGACACGGCCCAGACUCCUACGGGAGGCAGCAGUGGGGAAUAUUGCACAAUGGGCGAAAGCCUGAUGCAGCAACGCCGCGUGAGGGAUGACGGCCUUCGGGUUGUAAACCUCUUUUAGCAGGGAAGAAGCGAAAGUGACGGUACCUGCAGAAAAAGCGCCGGCUAACUACGUGCCAGCAGCCGCGGUAAUACGUAGGGCGCAAGCGUUAUCCGGAAUUAUUGGGCGUAAAGAGCUCGUAGGCGGUUUGUCGCGUCUGCUGUGAAAUCCCGAGGCUCAACCUCGGGCCUGCAGUGGGUACGGGCAGACUAGAGUGCGGUAGGGGAGAUUGGAAUUCCUGGUGUAGCGGUGGAAUGCGCAGAUAUCAGGAGGAACACCGAUGGCGAAGGCAGAUCUCUGGGCCGUAACUGACGCUGAGGAGCGAAAGGGUGGGGAGCAAACAGGCUUAGAUACCCUGGUAGUCCACCCCGUAAACGUUGGGAACUAGUUGUGGGGUCCAUUCCACGGAUUCCGUGACGCAGCUAACGCAUUAAGUUCCCCGCCUGGGGAGUACGGCCGCAAGGCUAAAACUCAAAGGAAUUGACGGGGACCCGCACAAGCGGCGGAGCAUGCGGAUUAAUUCGAUGCAACGCGAAGAACCUUACCAAGGCUUGACAUAUACGAGAACGGGCCAGAAAUGGUCAACUCUUUGGACACUCGUAAACAGGUGGUGCAUGGUUGUCGUCAGCUCGUGUCGUGAGAUGUUGGGUUAAGUCCCGCAACGAGCGCAACCCUCGUUCUAUGUUGCCAGCACGUAAUGGUGGGAACUCAUGGGAUACUGCCGGGGUCAACUCGGAGGAAGGUGGGGAUGACGUCAAAUCAUCAUGCCCCUUAUGUCUUGGGCUUCACGCAUGCUACAAUGGCCGGUACAAAGGGCUGCAAUACCGUGAGGUGGAGCGAAUCCCAAAAAGCCGGUCCCAGUUCGGAUUGAGGUCUGCAACUCGACCUCAUGAAGUCGGAGUCGCUAGUAAUCGCAGAUCAGCAACGCUGCGGUGAAUACGUUCCCGGGUCUUGUACACACCGCCCGUCAAGUCAUGAAAGUCGGUAACACCUGAAGCCGGUGGCCUAACCCUUGUGGAGGGAGCCGUCGAAGGUGGGAUCGGUAAUUA
rnacentral:rRNA from 1 species